rnacentral:rRNA from 2 species
CGGCGGACGGGUGAGUAAUGCUUAGGAAUCUGCCCAGUAGUGGGGGAUAGCCCGGGGAAACCCGGAUUAAUACCGCAUACGUCCUACGGGAGAAAGCAGGGGAUCUUCGGACCUUGCGCUAUUGGAUGAGCCUAAGUCGGAUUAGCUAGUUGGUGGGGUAAAGGCCUACCAAGGCGACGAUCCGUAGCUGGUCUGAGAGGAUGAUCAGCCACAUCGGGACUGAGACACGGCCCGAACUCCUACGGGAGGCAGCAGUGGGGAAUAUUGGACAAUGGGGGCAACCCUGAUCCAGCCAUGCCGCGUGUGUGAAGAAGGCUUUCGGGUUGUAAAGCACUUUCAGUAGGGAGGAAAACCUUAUGGUUAAUACCCAUGAGGCUUGACGUUACCUACAGAAGAAGCACCGGCUAACUCCGUGCCAGCAGCCGCGGUAAUACGGAGGGUGCAAGCGUUAAUCGGAAUUACUGGGCGUAAAGCGCGCGUAGGUGGUUUGGUAAGCGAGAUGUGAAAGCCCCGGGCUUAACCUGGGAACGGCAUUUCGAACUGUCAGACUAGAGUGUGGUAGAGGG